UUCAGCUGACUUUUCAUCGUAAGAUUCCGAACUUCGUUCCGAACUUCGCCAAUUCGUUGCCAAGUUCAAAAGUUCAUAAUGAAAUUCACAAUCAGAGUGAUUGGCUAUUAAAUCAAACCAGCCAAUCAAAUGCCAAGUUUACAAACCUGUUUGUGAAUUUCAUUAUGAACUUUUGAACUUGGCAACGAAUUUGCGAAGUUCGGUUCGGAAUCUUACGAUAGAAAGUCAGCUGAC